UAGGGAAUCUUCGGCAAUGGGGGGAACCCUGACCGAGCAACGCCGCGUGAGUGAAGAAGGUUUUCGGAUCGUAAAGCUCUGUUGUUAAGGAAGAACGAGUGUGAGAAUGGAAAGUUCAUGCUGUGACGGUACUUAACCAGAAAGGGACGGAUAACUACGUGCCAGCAGCCGCGGUAAUACGUAGGUCCCGAGCGUUGUCCGGAUUUAUUGGGCGUAAAGCGAGCGCAGGCGGUUAGAAAAGUCUGAAGUGAAAGGCAGUGGCUCAACCAUUGUAGGCUUUGGAAACUGUUUAACUAGAGUGCAGAAGGGGAGAGUGGAAUUCCAUGUGUAGCGGUGAAAUGCGUAGAUAUAUGGAGGAACACCGGUGGCGAAAGCGGCUCUCUGGUCUGUAACUGACGCUGAUGUGCGAAAGCGUGGGGAUCAAACAGG
rnacentral:rRNA from 1 species